rnacentral:rRNA from 1 species
GAUGAACGCUGGCGGCGUGCCUAAUACAUGCAAGUCGAGCGAACAGAUAAGGAGCUUGCUCCUUUGACGUUAGCGGCGGACGGGUGAGUAACACGUGGGUAACCUACCUAUAAGACUGGGAUAACUUCGGGAAACCGGAGCUAAUACCGGAUAACAUUUGGAACCGCAUGGUUCUAAAGUGAAAGAUGGUUUUGCUAUCACUUAUAGAUGGACCCGCGCCGUAUUAGCUAGUUGGUAAGGUAACGGCUUACCAAGGCAACGAUACGUAGCCGACCUGAGAGGGUGAUCGGCCACACUGGAUCUGAGACACGGUCCAGACUCCUACGGGAGGCAGCAGUAGGGAAUCUUCCGCAAUGGGCGAAAGCCUGACGGAGCAACGCCGCGUGAGUGAUGAAGGGUUUCGGCUCGUAAAACUCUGUUAUUAGGGAAGAACAAACGUGUAAGUAACUGUGCACGUCUUGACGGUACCUAAUCAGAAAGCCACGGCUAACUACGUG